rnacentral:tRNA from 1 species
UGCGGAUAGGACAAACGGUUAAGUCACAAGCCCCAUAAGCUUCGAGGAACUGGUUCGACUCCAGUAUCCGCAACCA